UACGAGGGGGGCGAGCGUUGUUCGGAAUUAUUGGGCGUAAAGGGUGCGUAGGCGGUUUGGUAAGUCUUAUGUGAAAUCUACAGGCUCAACUUGUAGUCUGCAUGAGAAACUGCCGGGCUUGAGUGUGGGAGAGGUGAGUGGAAUUCCUGGUGUAGCGGUGAAAUGCGUAGAUAUCAGGAGGAACACCGGUGGCGAAGGCGGGUCUCUGGGCCAUUACUGACGCUGAGGAGCGAAAGCGUGGGGAGCGAACAGG
rnacentral:rRNA from 1 species